rnacentral:rRNA from 1 species
ACUCCUACGGGAGGCAGCAGUGGGAAUCUUGGGACAAUGGGGGCAACCCUGAUCCAGCCAUGCCGCGUGAGUGAUGAAGGCCUUAGGGUCGUAAAGCUCUUUCGCCUGUGAUGAUAAUGACAGUAGCAGGUAAAGAAACCCGCGUACAUCCGUGCCAGCAGCCGCGGUAAUACGGAGGGGGUUAGCGUUGUUCGGAAUUACUGGGCGUAAAGCGCGCGUAGGCGGAUUAGUCAGUUAGAGGUGAAAUCCCAGGGCUCAACCCUGGAACUGCCUUUAAUACUGCUAGUCUUGAGUUCGAGAGAGGUGAGUGGAAUUCCGAGUGUAG